GAUAAAAUCACCUGGGACUGAACAUUUGCCAUUCUCUUUAGACAGGGCAUACUUUCUCCAAUUUGCCCAGUCCUCAGUACUUCUUAGAGAGAUUUCUUCCAAGCCUACUUCAGGCAUUCAUUAUCUGCCUUCCGUCUGUAAGCAUACACAAGAUGUUCUGUGUAUAUAAGAGAAGCAAACAAAGAGUUUCAAUGUAGACAGUUCUGCCUGGCCGAGAGAAUUGGUUUCUCAAGCAUAUGGAUGGAUCCCUUUCUUCCUUGUUGUCUUUCUGUGAGUUGAUGCUGGAGUGUCUGAUGGUGAGGAAGGAUCAGUGCCUGAGAGAUAUGAAGAUGAGACACCCUGACAUUGGCCUCAGCACUAGAAACUUGUACUAUUUCACAUAGCUCCAAGAAGAAUUAAAAGAACCAAGGAUCUAACCACUCCCAAGCUGCCUUGUAAUCUGAAUCCUUGGAAUUUUCUUGGCCUACUUUUAGCUGAAGUUCUGACUCUGUAUCAGGGAGAGAUUCUUCACUAAAUUGAUCCUUUUCUUGAGAGUGAGCUAACCCAAUAAGCACUGAAAUUCAUUUAAAGGAAAAAUUUGCAUUAACAUUUCUUAUAAUUUUGUAUCAUUUUUACAUGAAAGUGAAUAUUCUCCUCCACUCUAUCCCACACGCACACACAGGGGCACUCAAUUUGGGCAGUUUCUUUUUAAUGUCUAUCAGAUUUACUCUAGGCAAACUGAGAAAACAUAGGAAGCCAGUUUCAGCAUGGUAACAAUAGCUCAUAAGCCCACCUGCCACCAUACACAGGUGCUUUUAUCAAGACGUAAUAGAAUGUUAGAGAACUAAUUACAGUAUCAUUUUUCAAACAUGACACUCUCUAGAAGUUCAGGUUAAUUUAUUCCCUCAAUAAGUAUUUUUCAAAUGCAAACUUGAUGAAUGGCACUGAUCUAUGUGCUAAAGAUGAGGAACAAAAAAUGCAAGAUCAAAACCCUGCCCACCAGUCACUUACUGUCCUGUUAGAGAAAAUUCGUAAUGCAGAAUUGUAUAUGAGUAACAAAGGGACGUAGCUGAAUGAAUGUUAUGGAUGCUACGGUUCCAAGACAGAAGAGCUAACGAAUGCAUUAUUCAUUCUAAAGAUGAGACUUGAGUACAGCCUUGGAGAAUGGGGAAGGAGAAGUAUGAAAAAGGCUUGAGGUCAGAAAUAUGCUUUAUUCAGUUGACAGUGAGGAUUCUCAGCUGUCCAGAGAGGAAGGUUCAUACUGGCAAGAAGUAAAUUCAGUAGGCAGGAGAAAUCUUCAUGGCUAAAAUCUCAUGCAGGGUCAAACUGUCUGGGUUUGAAUUCUGGAUCUAUCACUUACUAGCUGAUGAUUGUACCUCUGAAGUCUCAAAGCAUCUUACAGAGCCAUUUGGGAGAUUUUUUGAGUCCAUUUAUGUAGGGCACAUAGCACAGUUCCUGGCAUAUUAGCGCCACCCUGUAAAUGUCAGCUACUAUCAGUAGAGGUGGUGGAGAACCCUAUAUGAAAUGGAUUUGAAUGCCAAAAUGAGAAGUCAGAACUUGACCUUGUAAGUAAAAUGAAAGCUAUCAUUGUUUUUUUAUUUGUUUUUUAGUGGAUUUGAGAUAUGAUAUAGAUGAUGUUUCAGUAAGAUUGAUCUGGUGGCAUUUAUGGUAGAGGAUGAGUUGGAGAAAGGAAGCAGGAGGACGGGAAGGCAGCUGGGAGGUUACUGGCAUAGUUGGGGCGUGAAGCACUAAAAGUCUGCACAGAGAAAUUUUAAAGAGAAAAAAUCAUUGGGAUACUGGAUCUUAAUCAUUUGGGGUCAUAGGCUUCCUAGUCUAUCUCACAAAAACUAUGGAUCCUCUUCUCACAAAUGUGCAUAUACUGUUGCACACGAGCACAAAAAUCUGCAUGCAAUUUCAGGGGUUCAAGAAGCCCUCCCUUAGAACCCAGAUGUAGGGAAUAAAAGAAAAGGCAGAGAAUGAAUGUACUAUCAUGAAGAAGUACAAUAAUAAUAUAAUAAAAUAAAAACAGCAGUAUGAUAAAGUGAAUCUAAUAGAUUACAUUGGAUAUAUAAUAUUGCUACUUUGUAUUUAUGUUUGGGAACUGUUUCGUAAUUUUAGUUUGCCCCACAGAGAUGGACAUAUUUUUAUAUCUCAACUGUAAUAAUUGUAUUUUCUUUCAUCUUUGAUUUUUUUUCCUAAAAAAUAUUACUUCAUUGAACUGAUCUGUCAAAUGCGACUUUCACACUCAACUGUUAUCACGUGAGCUAAUUACAAUGCUAAUUAGCCCAGUUUACGGGGACUGCUGUGCAUUUGUACACGAGGGUUCUUUGUUUGAUCUGCUACAUCAUAAGCUUACCAGCACGGAGGGAUAGCAUGUAUCGUUGAACGUGGAAGAACACACCUUCAUUUGUGUUAAUGAAGAAAACUACUGAAAACCAACAGACUAAUUAAGGGUAACGAUGAACAAUUUUGAUCAGCAAUUAUUUUUUAAUAUCGAAGUUCGCUCCUGGAAAGAGUAGAAUGGGGAAGUUCAUCUUCCAGCUUUCUACCCAGAAAAGUAGUGAGAGAGAGAUCCUGCUUCAUUUCCAAUUCUUCUCCCACAAACUGUUUUAACAUAUAAUUUAAUCGAUGCCUUUAUUUCAAAAGAAAAAAAUAAUUAUAGAGCUUGUUGGGAUCAUUUUCUGAAGAGAGGACAUUAUGCGUGCAUGAAUUCCAUCGGUGAUCUGAGGAGGAGCAGGCUGCUUGGACCAUUACCCAUCAUUGUCGAACAGCAGAGUAAUUAAUUGGGCAAAUACGUCUAGAUCUGGUGAAUUCACAUGCACAGUAACUGGGCAGCAGCAACACACACUCUUUUACUGUGAAUAAAAUAGCAAUAGUUUUAUGUGCCUUUGUGCUAUGUAAAAUGUCUUUUUUUUUCCUCUUGGCUUUAUCCAUUCCAGAUUAUUUUGUCCAUCUUUAUGUACUCAUUUGAAAAGAGGUUGCUUAUUACAAAGGAAAAAGAUAUCUAGAUGAGCAAGUUUGAAUUCCAUGUCUCUGUUUAUUUUUAAAGGAAUGAAUUGGGUUCAUUAUUCUUUCACUAAUUUUUAAAAUAAUUUAAUAUUUUCACUAAAAUGAGUUAAAUGAGCAUGAGGAAAUAGUAUUUUUUAAACUAGUUCCAGGAAUGGACAAGCUCCUAAAAAAAUUAUUAAGGCCUUCUAAUUACCGUACAAUAUUAAUUCAAAAAUUUAAUUUUUUAUUUAAGUGUCAUCUACAGAGGUAAAAAAUAAGGCACAGCAUUUGUCCUGGAGAAACUUCUUAUAAUAGUCCUCUGUAAAGUAUAGAUAAUCAAACAAUCUAACACUGUUUAUUUGAACAUCAAAAAGUGGACAAAUAUUUAGAGGAAAUAAUAUAAUUGUUUUAAUGCAAAUCAUCUCUGAUGGCUAAGUCCAAAUGUAAUAAGAAAGCUUAGGUUUUGAUUUAAAAGGAAGUCAAUUUUCCAGCAUCUCCCCUUCUGAAGAGGUUAAAUGAUGAUUCUUUUUUUUUUUUUUUCCGAUCACAUUUUAAUCCAGAUGACAGAGGACUUGCACUCCUAAUUCAGACUUUCUGGUAAAGCUCAGCUUGUCACAAUGUAUAGCUUUCUUUUCUUUGAUAAGGUCAGUUUGCCAAAAAGAACAAAGUGCAUAUGAGUAAUACAUUACUCAACCACUUGUAUACAUACAUCUAUUUUUCUUACCAGGUCUCACUAUUCAGAAAGGUACAGACAUGGCACCAUGAUAAAAAGGGUCAUUUAAAAGACUUCGCAGAGGCUCUGUACUGUGAAGGAUUGAAUUUUCACUUGAAUGCCUACAUUUUCACAUCUUUUUCUUUGCAGAAAUAUUCCUUUUGAAUGGCAGACUGCAAUUGGGUAGGUUUUUUUUUUUUUAAGUCACUGACCAGGAAUAUAUAAAAUAUUAGAAGGCAUUUGUCCCAGUGGAAGAACACAGUUCACUACCAGGUACCAGGUGGUUAUUAAGAAAGUUAUACAACUUUAUCUCUUCAGAUUGAAGAGCUCCUUCAGAUAAAAGCCUUAAGUUCAGUCAAGGUGGAAGGAACACUAAGGUCUGUCACUUCUAAAUGACAGACAAUUUAAAUAACUUGUGAAAUCAUUAGCCUCAAAGCCAUCUACCUAGUAAUUUUUCAUAAUCACAUCCAAUGUGUAUUCUUAGGAACACACAAGCAGACUCCAGUUUAUCUUUCUAUCUACUUCAAUAUUUGAUCACAACAUUUUGAGAAAUAUGCUCAUGACUAAUUUUAAAACCUCUAAUUUUUCUUUAAUGGUUUUAUAUUUCCCAAAUACACUUAAAGGGGUGGGGAGGAGAGAAAAGUCUAUUAAAUACACUGAAACUUUUUAAUAUUGGUUACUGGAUUCCCUAAGGAGUUAGUGUAAAUUCAGUUCAGUUGAAUGAAACAGAUAUUUCUUCAUCUCCUACUAUCAGUAUGGUAUUGUGCUGGGAUUACGGGGAGAAAUAGGAAUGAAUAAAGCACCUUCUCUACGCUUAAGGAUUCUAGAAUCUAUAAAAAAAGUAAGGUGCAUAACCAUAAUAAAAGCUAGAAUAUGAUGAAUAAGAACAGAAAGUCACAAAAUUCUGUCAGAAUAUAUCAAUGAGAUUUUGUCUGGCUGUAUCAAGGAUGACAUCAUAGAGGAGAGAGCACUUAAACACUGCCUUGAAAGAUGCAUUCAGUUGGCCUGCAGUGGAGAAGGACAGAAUAGUCUGAUAGAAUUGCUACAUUCUGGAAAGGAAAAUGCCAAGAGAAAAAGCAUCCAGGUGGGAAAAAUGCAGGAAUGUUGGUGUGACAUGGAGUCCAAUAUAAGCGAGACAGAGGGGGAAUAUAAGUUGCUUGAGGAGGAGUGAUGAAAAUCAAGUGUGAACAACUAUGUUGACACUUGAUGUUACUAAGGAGUUUGGUUGUGAUUCUACAGGCAAUUGAGAGCUUCAGAGCAACACAAUGUCUAACAGAACUGUGAUUUGUGUAGCUUGUAAAAUAUUGUUUCUUUCUUCUCAUGUAUAAUUUAUCUGUUUUUUCCUAUACUGUUAACGAUUUUUCUUGAACUUUAAUUCUAUUUUUUUCCCUUUCCUGUUGGAACUAAACCAGAGGACUAUAGAUGUCAUGGACAAUAUAUCCCCCACUCAAGUAUUCAUGUCCAAACUAAAUUGUUAAGAAACUUCACACUAACAAUAAUGAUUUUAUAACUCUAAGUCUAGUGGCAAUUGUGUAUUGUUAUUUUAAAAAAUACUUAGAAUUACUUAAUUACUUCUGAGUUAUGUGGAAUCAGAAAUACAUUUCUUUGAAAGUGAAACAGGAUAUCUUGUUCAUAUUGUAUAACAAAACUGGAUGAAAAGGUAUUUUUUGGGCUUUUAAGAAAUAAACUUGCAAACCUCCC
rnacentral:lncRNA from 10 species